GCAUAGUGUUGAUAACGAGCUUGAAAUUUGGCUUCCCAUUCUGGCUCUGCAGCUCCCCUAUGACCUCAGGAAAGUCUUUCAUCUGCCUCAGUCAGUUCCUUCAGGCCUUCAGCUGCAAAACGAGAUGGUUCUGUUCUUUCUUCGCUUCAUUUCUGUGCAAUAAACUUUCAAAUAUUUGCUAGUGGUUAUUGGACUGCUCCGACUGAUCAAAGCCCAAAGUGCACAUGGGAAGCCGAUGAGGUCGCUUCUACUAAGGAGCUCACAGUGUGAUUGGGGAGAUCUGCCUCUGAGCUAUAACAGUCCCCCCCCCCAGGGGGGUGCAAAGAAAGAUGAGUCUCAGCUGGGGUCACAGGGAGGGCAAGGUCAUGCAUGGUAAAGGCCUCUUGUUUGUGAGAGCCACACAGAACUGGUAAACGUAGAAGGAACUGUAGACCAAGGAAGACUUAGGUGGGAAGGAAGGACAAGAACAAAGGAUCAAAGGUAGCUGUCUGUUUAGUUAAGUGCUCGGCUGGAAUCGAACCCUGGGAGCCUUCAGAGAUGGACUGCGUGCUUAGAUGCUCAUCCUCCACCCCACCUCCCCACAUCGCCUCCCUCCUCCGUGUUGACACUCUCCAUUGCCUGACAGUAGUAACAGAUACUUGUUCCUGUGGCUUCAAGUAGUCCUGAGGCUCAUGGGAAUAACCAGGUUUACAGAAGAAAAACAGGACUGAUAUAGAAGGAAGACACGCCUGUCUGUAACACCAGAGUGUGACGGGAAGGCCGCUCUGCAGAGCAUUUGGUGAGGUUAAAGGAGUGGGCAGCCCAUCUGCUAGAUGGUUGUGGGAAUCUUCUGCCAACCAGACAGAUGGUGGCGAAGGCUGGUACCUCAUUGCUACAAACUGAAAAACUGGAAAAGCCAAUAGGAAGUGACUGUCUCUGCCUCUGCGGCGUGAAUAAUAGGGCCACUCACCCCCCACCCCCAUGUGUGGCCUCUUUUGGGUCCCUUUGAAUAUAACAGAAAAGCUUGUUUUACUAGAUCUUACGUUGACUGCUAAGGCAAAAUUACCUUCUGAGUUGAAACCUGGGGAGCCUUUGAAGCUGGAGGUCAUGAGUUCUUGGGAUUUUAUUUAUUUAUAUUUUAAGAUUUAUUUAUUAUUAUAGGUAAGUACACUAUAGCUGUCUUCAGAUGCACCAGAAGAGGGCGUCAGAUCUCAUUACAGAUGGUUGUGAGCCACCACGUGGUUGCUGGGAUUUGAACUCAGGACCUUUGGAAGAGCAGUCAGUGCUCUUACCCGCUGAGCCAUCUCACCAGCCUAUUUUUUUAAAAAAGCAAACUUUAUUUUAGAGCACUUUUAGAUUUAGAGGAUGUGUUAGCUUCUGUUGUUAUGACAAAACAAUUGAGGAAAAUCAGCUUUAAGAAUCAUUUCACUCGCAGUUUUAGAAGUGUCAGCCCUCAGUCAGGUGGCUGCUGCUUUCAGCCUGUGGGGAGACGUCUCAUCAUGGUAGCAGGGUGUGCUGGAGAAAGGUGUUUCCUUUAUAGCAUCCAAGAAGCCAAUGAAAUGCCAGACGUGGUGGCGCACACCUUUAAUUCCAGCACUUGGGAGGCAGAGGCAGGUAAAUUUCUGAGUUCCAGGCCAGUCUGGUCUACAGAGUGAGUUCCAGGACAGCCAGGACUACACAAAGAAACCCUGUCUCGAAAAACAAAACAAAACAAAACAAAACAAAACAACAACAACAGAAGCCAAUGAGAUAAGGUUCAACCCCAGUGAUGUAAUUUCCAUCCACUUGGCAUUACUUCUCGAUAGUGCCAUAGAUUGGUGACCAAGCCCUAACACGGGUCUUUUGGGAUGCUACAGAUCCACAACAUAGAAGAGUUCUGUCAUACAUAGCAGUAGAGAGAAUUCUUGGUAUCUUACCUCCAGGUUUCUUUCUUUGUCCUUCAUUGGUGUGGUACGUUUGUCUUAAGUCCAGAGCAGAUAACAAUUUUUAACUUCAGUCUACAAUUGACUCAGGUUUUACAUUUCUCCCCAUGUCCCUUUCUUCUGAGAUCCUAUCACAUGACCCCUUAGGCUCCUCUUGGUUGUCUCUUGGAUUUUCCCUGCUUUUCCUGGCCUUGACAAUUUUGAGAAUUACUGUCAAGUGGUUUUAUAUAAAGCCCUUCGAUGGAGAUUUGUCCAUUGUUUUUAUCAUUAGACUAGAAUAGUGCAUCCUGGGAAGGUCAAACGCCAUCCUCACGACAUCACAUUAGGACACUAGUUCAGUCACGAGGGUUAUCACCUCUGAUACUGCUCUAGACUAGCUGGCCGCUCGCCAGGUGUGCUAAUGCUAAAGGUUUCUUUUCACUUCCUUCUGUUUUUAUUCUGGAAUAGCUAGCAGGAUGUCACUAUGUCCAGCCUACAGAACAAGACUGGCAAGUGAUACACCUUUUCAUUGGGGUAGAUGUCGCCUCAAAAUGAUGUGGAAUUCUUCUGCAGGGAAGAUGUGUCUGCUCUUUGUUUCAUUCAGUUACUUGGAUCAUUAGUAACUUGGUAACUUACUUACGCACAUUUUGCUUUGUUUUUUUUCUGCUUUGAAUCGCAGUCAAAGAUCACUUUAUUUUGUAGCUCAACUCACCCCUGCCUCCGAUCCUUUUCUUCCUCUUUCUGACCUUCCUGUAUCCCUUAGCAUCCCUUGGUUUCAAGGGGCUCAUCUGUUUGUAUCUCCCAGGACACUGCGUGCUCCUGUCUCAUCUCUGACCCUUUGGAGUGUAUAAGAAUG
rnacentral:lncRNA from 1 species